rnacentral:rRNA from 1 species
CAUGCAUGUCUCAGUGCAAGCCGCACUAAGGUGAAACCGCGAAUGGCUCAUUAAAUCAGUUAUGGUUCCUUAGAUGGUGGACAGUUACUUGGAUAACUGUGGUAAUUCUAGAGCUAAUACAUGCAACUCGGUCCCGACCGGAAGCGGAAGGGACGCUUUUAUUAGAUCAAAACCAAUCGGGCGCUUGCGUCCGUUUGCCUUGGUGACUCUGAAUAAAUUGUGGCAGAUCGCACGGUCUCCGUACCGGCGACGCAUCUUUCAAAUGUCUGCCUUAUCAACUGUCGAUGGUAGGUUCUGCGCCUACCAUGGUUGUAACGGGUAACGGGGAAUCAGGGUUCGAUUCCGGAGAGGGAGCCUGAGAAACGGCUACCACAUCCAAGGAAGGCAGCAGGCGCGCAAAUUACCCACUCCCGGCACGGGGAGGUAGUGACGAAAAAUAACGAUACGGGACUCAUCCGAGGCCCCGUAAUCGGAAUGAGCACACUUUAAAUCCUUUAACGAGUAUCCAUUGGAGGGCAAGUCUGGUGCCAGCAGCCGCGGUAAUUCCAGCUCCAAUAGCGUAU